AACAGUCAUUUAACAAAACAGAUAAUAAUAUCCAGAUGCCAACUAUUGAGCAGAAUUCCCUGACAAAAGAUUUCUACCUCUUUCCUGGUCAUUGAAAACAGAAAUGCUGGGCAGUCCAGCUCUUCUUUAUAGCUUCUAAAAUUAUCUCAAUAAAGUGAUAGCAAAUGAAAUGGAACAAAGGUGAACAAGGUGGUCUUCUAAUAUGAAACAAAGUUCCCUUGAAAAUGGCCAAGUAAAGUUCCACUGUGCAGCCCCGGAGCAGGAGACAAGCAGAUGCUGUGGAAACAAACAAACAAACAAAC